UCUUCCCUCUGGCGGCGUGCCUAAUACAUGCAAGUCGAGCGAACGGACGAGAAGCUUGCUUCUCUGAUGUUAGCGGCGGACGGGUGAGUAACACGUGGAUAACCUACCUAUAAGACUGGGAUAACUUCGGGAAACCGUAGCUAAUACCGGAUAAUAUUUUGAACCGCAUGGUUCAAAAGUGAAAGACGGUCUUGCUGUCACUUAUAGAUGGAUCCGCGCUGCAUUAGCUAGUUGGUAAGGUAACGGCUUACCAAGGCAACGAUGCAUAGCCGAACUGAGAGGGUGAUCGGCCAAACUGGAAACGAGACACGGUCCAGACUCCUAAGGGAGGCAGGAGUAGGGAAUCCUCCGCAAUGGGCCAAAGCCUGAACGAGCCAAGGCGAGUGAGUGAUGAAGGUCUUUCGAUCCUAAAACUCUUUUAUUAGGGAAGAACAUAUGUGUAAGUAACUGUGCACAUCUUGACGGUACCUAAUCAGAAAGCCACGGCUAACUACGUG
rnacentral:rRNA from 1 species